rnacentral:rRNA from 1 species
AUGGCGGCGCCCGUGACGGUGUACGGGCCGGCGAUCUCGCCGGCGGUGGCGCGCGUGGCGGCGUGCCUGCUGGAGAAGGACGUGCCGUUCCAGCUCGAGGCGGUGGACAUGUCCAAGGGCGAGCACAAGUCCCCCUCCUUCCUCAAGCUCCAGCCCUUCGGCCAGGUCCCCGCCUUCAAAGACCACCUCACCACCGUCUUCGAGUCAAGGGCCAUUUGCCGUUACAUCUGUGACCAGUACUCCGACCGUGGCAACCAGACUCUCCUAGGCCGGAAAGAAGACGGCGCGGUAGGCCGCGCUGCCAUCGAGCAAUGGGUAGAGUCCGAAGGCCAAGCAUUUAACCCGCCGAGCUUGGCCAUCGCAUUCCAGCUCACCUUCGCGCCUCUCAUGGGCAUGGCCACCGACAUGGCCGUGGUGGAGCAGAAUGAGGCGAAGCUCGCCAAGGUGCUCGACGUGUAUGAGCGGCGGCUGGCGGAGAGCCAGUAUUUCGCCGGCGACGAGUUCACCCUUGCCGACCUUGUGCACAUGCCCAACACUGAUCUCCUCGUGAGCAAGGCCGGCAAGGCGGGUCUGAUCACCGAGAGAAAGAAUCUGUCCAGAUGGUGGGAUGAGGUCUCGGCUCGUCCGUCAUGGAAGAAGGUUGUCGAGUUGCAGAGUGUACCACGGCCCUCUAAAGCUUGA